rnacentral:precursor_RNA from 14 species
CCUCCAUAACAUUAAAAUCUUUUCCCGGAAGCUGGUUUCUUGUGGUGACUUAGAUUUAUCCAUCGCUGCAUCUAGCACCAUUUGAAAUCAGUGUUCUAGGAGUAAGAAAAUCAGCCUUUGCCCG